rnacentral:rRNA from 1 species
CUACGGGAGGCAGCAGUGGGGAAUCUUGGACAAUGGGCGCAAGCCUGAUCCAGCCAUGCCGCGUGAGUGAUGAAGGCCUUAGGGUUGUAAAACUCUUUCACCAGUGAAGAUAAUGACAGUACCUGGUAAAGAAGCCCCGGCUAACUCCGUGCCAGCAGCCGCGGUAAUACGGAGGGGGCUAGCGUUGUUCGGAAUUACUGGGCGUAAAGCGCGCGUAGGCGGACUGGAAAGUUGGGGGUGAAAUCCCGGGGCUCAACCCCGGAACUGCCUCCAAAACUAUCAGUCUAGAGUUCGAGAGAGGUGAGUGGAAUUCCGAGUGUAGAGGUGAAAUUCGUAGAUAUUCGGAGGAACACCAGUGGCGAAGGCGGCUCACUGGCUCGAUACUGACGCUGAGGUGCGAAAGUGUGGGGAGCAAACAGGAUUAGAUACCCUGGUAGUCCACACCGUAAACGAUGAAUGCCAGUCGUCGGGUAGCAUGCUAUUCGGUGACACACCUAACGGAUUAAGCAUUCCGCCUGGGGAG